CUCGACCAGAAAGACCAGGAAUUGAUUUAAGCAAACAGCCUCCAGCUGUGCGAUUGAACAAGGAAUUGGGCUUCAUCCUGACAUUCAAGUUAAAGGGGGAGGAUGAGAUUCGAGAAUCUGGGAUACCAUAUACAAUAGUCAGACCUUGUGCCUUAACUGAGGAGCCUGCAGGAGCUGAUCUCAUUUUCGAUCAAGGCGACAAUAUCACGGGGAAGAUAUCCCGUGAAGAAGUUGCUCGAAUAUGUGUGGCCGCUCUGAAAAGCCCCUAUGCAUGUGACAAGACAUUUGAG
rnacentral:misc_RNA from 1 species